UCCAUUCAUCAUAAGUUUUUUCUUCUAUUACUAAACUCGACAAGUUGCUUAAAAUCAAAGAGCUUUUGUAACUUCAACUUGCUUGCUUUCUAUGAUACUUAUACAUUUUCUCUCUAAAAACAAUGAGUAACUAUUUACAUGAUGACGGUUACUCCUUAUCAAAGUUAAGGUAAAUUAUCUAUAUAAUGUUACUUUCUAUUUUAGAUAUAGAUUCAUGUCGACUCUUUGGAAUAUGGUUUUGAACAUUAGGGGCUCAUGAAGUUGAAGAGUAUGUUAUUAUGAUUUUUGAAGUAUUCUGCUACAUCU